rnacentral:other from 1 species
GACGUUCUGGAGUGCGCGAGGACUUUGGGAAUGUCUAACCUACAUUAAUUUUAGGGAAUCUGAUUUGUGUCGGCAGAUGUAGAGUCGCAUUUUUUCUCAGCGAAUAACAGAAACCGAGCUUAGGAUACCCACCUGCAUUACGCGGGUUUAGACAUUUGAGGAUACGGCAUUUUGGAUCCCUU